AUGAGGUGAACACUGUGAAUUAUGUUCAGGUCCUGUCUGGAGGAGUAGCCAGCAAUGAGUACAUCCGCAAGACUCUGAGCAUCAUCACUGAGACCACAGGACUACAUCUGCUCUGCCCCCCUGCCAAAUUCUGCACUGACAACGGAGUGAUGAUUGCAUGGAAUGGUGUUGAGCGCCUGAGAGAAGGGAAAGGGAUACUACCUCCAACUGUGGAUGUCUGCUAUGAGCCAAAGGCGCUGCUGGGUGUGGACAUGAGCGCCGAGGUGAGGGCAGCGGCCAUCAGGCUGCCGUCAGUCCGGAUCAAGAUCCAAAACUGAGGCUGCUGCUUUUCUUCGGUCACUCCUAUAGCCCAGAUCAGAGUAUAUACCCAGGAGUGCACAUAACUUUUUUGCCCUGGUUCUCAAUGGAGCACCUGGAGAUGUUGCUUGGUACUCAUCCUUAAACUGAA